AUUGAACGCUGGCGGCAGGCCUAACACAUGCAAGUCGAGCGAGCGGCGGACGGGUGAGUACUGUCUGUGAACCUGCCUGAUGGGGGGGGCUAACUACUGGAAACGGUAGCUAAUACCGCAUACCAACAGAUCUGCCCCGAUGGGAUUAGCUAGUGGGUGGGGUAACGGCCCACCAAGGCGACGAUACCUAGCUGGUCUGAGAGGAUUACCAGCCACACUGGAACUGAGACACGGCCCAGACUCCUACGGGAGGCAGCAGUGGGGAAUAUUGCACAAUGGGCGCAAGCCUGAUUCAGCCAUGCCGCGUGUGUGAAGAAGGCCUUCGGGUUGUAAAGCACUUUCAGCGGGGAGGCGUUACCCGCAGAAUAAGCACCGGCUAACUCCGUGCCAGCAGCCGCGGUAAUUC
rnacentral:rRNA from 1 species